UCCUAUUGGGAAGCUUGCUGCCGCCUCUGCCUCACGGGCCCGGGUCCGUUAAUUUUGUCCUGGCUCCUCCGACGCUGGCGGCUGGAUUAUGCUGCUGUCGAACGGGAGCAGCAUGCUCCCUGGCGCAGGGUGAGGAACACGUGAACAACCUGCCUUCUGUUGGGGAUAGCUUCUGGAACGGGAAUAUACCGAAUAACAUCAUUUGGUCCAUGACCGGAUGAUCAAGCACAAUGCGCUUGAGAGGGGUUCGCGUCCCUUAUCUAUUGGUGAGGUAACGGCCCACCAAGGCGAUGAUGGGUAGCUGGUCUGAGAGGACGAUCACCACAUUGUGACUGAGAUACUGCCCAGACUCCUACAGGAGGCUGUGCCGAGAAUUUUGGGCAUGACAAAAUCUGACCCACAUGCCGCGUGCGCGAUGAGGUCUCUGAUAGUAACCCUGUCACAGGACGAAAUAUACGGUACUCUGAGAGCCCGCUACUACUGCAGCAGCCGCGUAUACUAGUGCGGCGUGUCUGAUUAUUAGUGGUAAAGGUCUCAGUGUUGAGAUUGACUGAAUCUCAGUCACUCUGACUGCGUGAAACUGCUGAUGAGAUCGAAAGAAUGAAUUACGGUACGUGAUGCUAUAUCGUAACCAAGCACGGGA
rnacentral:rRNA from 1 species